UACAGAGGUGCCAAGCGUUAGGCGGAAUCACUGGGCUUAAAGCGCGUGUAGGCGGGUCGUUAAGUGUCUUGUGAAAUCCCACGGCUCAACCGUGGAACUGCUGGGCAUACUGACGAUCUUGAGGCACUCAGGGGCUGUCGGAACAAAUGGUGGAGCGGUGAAAUGCGUAGAUAUCAUUUGGAACGCCAACGGUGAAAACAGACAGCUGGGGGUGUCCUGACGCUGAGACGCGAAAGCCAGGGGAGCAAACGGG
rnacentral:rRNA from 1 species